UCAAGCUAAUAAGAGCACAGGGUGGAUGCCCAGGCACCAAACGCCGAUGAAAGACGUGGCAAGCUGCGAAAAGUCACGGGGAACCGCAAGCAGGUAUUGAUCCGUGAACGUCUGAAUGGGGAAACCCGGCGGGUUAACAGCCCGUCACUAUUAACUGAAUCAAUAGGUUAAUAGGGGGAACGCGGGGAACUGAAACAUCUCAGUACCCGUAGGAAGAGAAAAUAAAGAAUGAUUUCCUAAGUAGCGGCGAGCGAACGGGAAAGAGGCCAAACCGAAGGGCUUGCUCUUCGGGGUUGUGGAUCAGCAAAAAGGACGGAAGACCUUAGCAGAAGAGGAUUGGAAAGUCCCGCCAGAGAGGGUAAAAGCCCCUUACGCGAAAAGGUCGAACGACGAGCUGACACCAGAGUACCGCAGGACACGAGAAAUCCGGUGGGAAGCCGGGAGGACCACCUCCCAAGCCUAAAUACGAAUUGGUGACCGAUAGCGCAUAGUACCGUGAGGGAAAGGUGAAAAGAACCCCGGGAGGGGAGUGAAAAAGAACCUGAAACCCUGUGUUUACAAGCAGUGAAAGUGCAAGUUAGGCACGAUCACGUACUUUUUGUAGAACGGACCGGCGAGUUACGUUAUGCAGCAAGGUUAAGAACUGAAGGUUCGGAGCCGAAGCGAAAGCGAGUCUGAACAGGGCGAUAGUUGCAUGACGUAGACCCGAAACCGGGUGACCUAUCCAUGAGCAGGUUGAAGUGGAGGUAAAGCUCCAUGGAGGACCGAACCAGACGUCUGUUGAAAAAGGCGGGGAUGACUUGUGGAUAGGGGAGAAAUUCCAAUCGAACCCGGAGAUAGCUGGUUCUCCUCGAAAUAGCUUUAGGGCUAGCCUCAUGGAUCAUUGAUGGGGGUAGAGCACUGAAUGUGCGCGGGGGCCACAAAGCCUACCAAACGCUAUCAAACUACGAAUACCAUACAAUGCAGACCAUGGGAGUCAGUCCGCGAGAGAUAAGUUCCGCGGGCAAAAGGGGAACACCCCAGAUCAACCGCUAAGGUCCCCAAGUUCACGUUAAGUGGAGAAGGAUGUGGAAUUGCACAGACAACCAGGAUGUUGGCUCAGAAGCAGCCACACAUUUAAAGAGUGCGUAAUAGCUCACUGGUCGAGUGAUUGUGCGCCGAAGAUGUCCGGGGCUAAACGUGACACCGAAGCGAUGGGUGCAUCUGAAAGGAUGCGCGGUAGAGGAGCAAUGUGCAGAGGCAGAAGCCGUAUCGAGAGGCACGGUGGACACUGCACAAGAGAGAAUGCCGGUAUGAGUAGCGAGAGGCAUGCGAGAAACAUGCCCGUCGAAAGCCCAAGGUUUCCUGGGGAAGGUUCAUCCGCCCAGGGUAAGUCGGGGCCUAAGCCGAGGACGGAAGUCGUAGGCGAUGGACAGCAGGUGUAGAUUCCUGCACUACCGAUGGAAUGAAGCAGUGACACAGAAGGAUAACUCGAGCAGGGUGAUGGUCAACCCUGUGCAAGCAUCAAGGUUGGGUUGUAGUGAAGUACGCAAUCCUAUAAGCUGAGGUGUGAUGCGGACCGAAAUUUCAGUAGGGAAGCGAGUGAGUUCACGCUGGCGAGAAAAGCUGCUAGUACAUCCAAAGGUACCCGUACCGGAAACCGACGCAGGUGGGCGAGGAGAGAAUCCUGAGACGAACGGGAGAACCCUUGUUAAGGAACUCGGCAAAAUGACCCCGUAACUUCGGGAUAAGGGGUGCCUGCGAGAGCAGGCCGCAGAGAAUAGUCACAAGCGACUGUUUAGCAAAAACACAGGUAUCUGCGAAAGCGAGAGCUGACGUAUAGGUGCUGACACCUGCCCGGUGCUGGAAGGUUAAGGGAACAUGUUAGAGCAAUCGAAGCAUCGAACCGAAGCCCCAGUAAACGGCGGCCGUAACUAUAACGGUCCUAAGGUAGCGAAAUUCCUUGUCGGGUAAGUUCCGACCCGC
rnacentral:rRNA from 1 species